rnacentral:rRNA from 1 species
CACCAGCCCCUCGAGUGGUGGGGAUGAUUAUUUGGCCUAAAGCGUCCGUAGCCGGCCGGGUAAGUUUCCCGUUAAAUCCAGCGUCUCAAGCGUUGGACUGCGGGAAAUACUGCCUGGCUAGAGAGUGGGAGAGGUCAGCGGCAUUCUGGGGGUAGGGGCGAAACCCUUUGAUCCCCGGAGGACCACCAGUGGCGAAGGCUGCUGACUAGAACACGUCUGACGGUCAGGGACGAAAGCUGGGGUAGUGAACCGGAUUAGAUACCCGGGAAGUUCCAGCCGUAAACGAUGCAUGCUAGGUAUUGGGUUGGCCACGAGCCACCCCAGUGCCGCAGGGAAGCCGUUAAGCAUGCCGCCUGGGAAGUACGAUCGCAAGAUUGAAACUUAAAGGAAUUGGCGGGGGAGCACCACCAGGCGUGAAGCCUGCGGUUU